AAGGCCUUAGUGCUAAGACUUAAGAAAUAAUCUGAACUGUCCAUUCAAUGAAUAUCAACGGCCAGAUCUUGUCCCUCCAAUAAGAUUUUUAAUGAUUUAAAAUUAUUUUUAUUGAAUAAUCAUUUACGGAGGGCUAAAAUUGUAAGUUACCUAUUAAAACAAAUCUCUCUCCUACACAUCCCCAUUAAUCAUGGGAUCCCCCAUUUCAAACCUACCCUCUCAAGCAGCAAUCGAAAAGGAGAUUCGGUAGGGUUUCAAACUAAUAUUCAAGAUUUGUUCGUCAGAAUUUGGGCGCAGCUAUUCAAGGAUUUCUUUCUCAUUUUUAUUUUAAUAUUCAGUAGAUUUGGAUUCGACAGCGGUAUUUUUCUUAUUUUUUCCAGUUAUUGAAUGUAAUCUAUGUUUGGCGGUGAUUUUUUUUUACAGAAUUCAAUUAUCACUUUUGGCUAAACCACUGCAAAUCUCAAUCGUUCGAAUGUCGCCAUUAUUCGAGCACGAGCGACGCCUCGUAUUGGAGGAAAAUUUUGAAUAGGGUAUAUGAUGAUGAUGAAUUGUGGUUCUGAUCAAUUCUUGCAAAUUCUAAGAAGGAGAAUGCCAUUCAAAAUCAGUAUGAGUUCUUCACUCAAAGAAUGGGAGGGCUUUCAUCAUUCUGCCAAAGAAGAGUCACUUUUCUGCAAGGAGUCGGUGUUGGCCCAUCGUCUAAGAUUUGUUACGUUAUUGCAUCAGCGCUUGAUUUCAAUCAGAAAAGGAUUUUCGAAGGAGGUUGCCUUGGCAUCUCACAUUAUAGACCUUUAUUUUAGUGUUCUUAUUUUUCUCUUUUCUUUUUUCUAGAACUACAAUAGCUUGUAUGUUUUGCUGUUAAUAC